CAGUAGCCGCGGGAACACAGAGGGUGCGAGCGUUAAUCGGAUUUACUGGGCGUAAAGCGUGCGUAGGCGGCUUUUUAAGUCGGAUGUGAAAUCCCUGAGCUUAACUUAGGAAUUGCAUUCGAUACUGGGAAGCUAGAGUAUGGGAGAGGAUGGUAGAAUUCCAGGUGUAGCGGUGAAAUGCGUAGAGAUCUGGAGGAAUACCGAUGGCGAAGGCAGCCAUCUGGCCUAAUACUGACGCUGAGGUACGAAAGCGUGGGGAUCAAACAGGAUUAGAUACCCCUGUAGUCCCUGUCUCUUAUAC
rnacentral:rRNA from 1 species